GACGAACGCUGGCGGCGUGCUUAACACAUGCAAGUCGAACGGAAAGGCCCUGCUUUUGUGGGGUGCUCGAGUGGCGAACGGGUGAGUAACACGUGAGUAACCUGCCCUUGACUUUGGGAUAACUUCAGGAAACUGGGGCUAAUACCGGAUAGGAGCUCCUGCUGCAUGGUGGGGGUUGGAAAGUUUCGGCGGUUGGGGAUGGACUCGCGGCUUAUCAGCUUGUUGGUGGGGUAGUGGCUUACCAAGGCUUUGACGGGUAGCCGGACUGAGAGGGUGACCGGCCACAAUGGGACUGAGGUACGGCCCAGACUCCUACGGGAGGCAGCAGUGGGGGAUAUUGCACAAUGGGCGGAAUCCUGAUGCAGCAACGCCGCGUGCGGGAUGACGGCCUUCGGGUUGUAAACCGCUUUCGCCUGUGACGAAGCGUGAGUGACGGUAAUGGGUAAAGAAGCACCGGCUAACUACGUG
rnacentral:rRNA from 1 species